AGAAAACACAUACAAACGCCACAACAACUACAUAUUCAGAAAACACCUCCAAAUUCAGAAAACACAUACAAACGCCACGACAACUACAUAUUCAGAAAACACCUCCAAAUUCAGAAAACACAUACAAACGCCACAACAACUACAUAUUCAGAAAACAACUUCGUCGAUUCCACAUCACGUACGCUGCAAAUAUUCACAGCACGAGCAAAUAGGGAAACGAACUGCAAACUGCAAAGACACAACGGAAAUGUUUCCAGGGGGGCCAUAAUCAGUGACGGACCCGCAUCCAUCCGGUUGUCUUCGCGCUAUCUGAAUGUGCGCUUUUGUUGUUUAUGGCUACAAGAGAUUGAAAUGUUCUGUCCGUUUUGUGCUGUGCAACUGGGGGACGCUCCCAAGUUUUGCCCGUCGUGUGGUCUGAACGUGGGGUUCCUUACGGAGCGUCCAUCCACGUCAUCAAGCGUAGGCCAUGGGCCUACAGUGAAUGAGACAAGUAUCCAAGGAAGAGCAGCUCAAUUCAUGAGGUUCAGGG